rnacentral:rRNA from 1 species
UGAACGCUAGCGGCAGGCCUAACACAUGCAAGUCGCGGGGCAGCACGGGUAGCAAGUACCUGGUGGCGACCGGCGCACGGGUGCGUAACGCGUAUGCAACCUGCCCCCAGUCAGGGGGAAUAGCCCGCCGAAAGGCGGAUUAAUGCCCCAUAGGCCCAGGGCGCCGCAUGGCGCUAUGGGUAAAGCUCCGGCGGAUGGGGAUGGGCAUGCGUGCCAUUAGCGUAGUUGGGGCGGUAACGGCGCACCAAGGCGACGAUGGCUAGGGGGUCUGAGAGGAUGGUCCCCCACACUGGUACUGAGACACGGACCAGACUCCUACGGGAGGCAGCAGUGAGGAAUAUUGGUCAAUGGGCGGAAGCCUGAACCAGCCAUUGCCGCGUGCAGGAUGACGGCCCUACGGGUUGUAAACUGCUUUUCCCCGGGAAGAAUAAGCCCCUCGUGAGGGGUGAUGCCGGUACCGGGGGAAUAAGGAUCGGCUAACUCCGUGCCAGCCGCUGC